GUUCUCCGUCCUUGAAAGUGUGGCAAGUAAUGGGCUAAUCGGAUUAGAUCAUUAGGUACAGACCAAUCAGAAGCAAAUGCUCAUUUUUAGAAGUACUGUAUUAGUUGCUGUAUGUUGGCUUCAUACACAGUUUACAUACUACAGAAUUUAUCAGCACUAUCAAAUAAAUGGUUUUCAAUCCAUUGAAAGGAAGUCAUGUUUGUUGCAAUAUAUUGUUCGUGGUAGACACUGGGAAAAAACCAACUAUUGAAUGUGUAUUUAUUUGUCUCCGGGUACAAAACUGAUGGAAGAGCAGCCAUGAUGAAGCAGUAAAAAGGUUCUUGGAUACCUUGCUUCAAUACCUCUGGUUGGACAAGAAAAGACCUGG